rnacentral:rRNA from 1 species
UCAUUUAGAGGAAGUAAAAGUGGUAACAAGGUCUCCGUUGGUGAACCAGCGGGAGGGAUCAUUACAGAGUUGCAAAACUCCCUACACCAUUGUGAACGUUACCUAAACCGUUGCUUCGGCGGGCGGGCCCCGGGGGUUUACCCCCCGGGGCGCCCCUGGGCCCCACCGCGGGGCGGCCCGCCGGAGGUCACCAAACUCUUGAUAAUUUAUGGGCCUCUCUGAGUCUUCUGUACUGAAUAAGUCAAAACUUUCAACAACGGAUCUCUUGGUUCUGGCAUCGAUGAAGAACGCAGCGAAAUGCGAUAAGUAAUGUGAAUUGCAGAAUUCAGUGAAUCAUCGGAAUCUUUGAACGCACAUUGCGCCCGCCAGGUAUUCUGGCGGGCAUGCCUGUUCGAGGCGUCAUUUCAACCAUCAAGCCCCGGGCUUGUGUUGGGGACCUGCGGCUGCCGCAGGCCCUGAAAAGCAGGUGGCGGGCUCGCUGUCACACCGAGGGUAGUAGCAUACAUCUCGCUCUGGGCGUGCUGCGGGUUCCGGCCGUUAAACCCCCUUUAACCCAAGGU